GAGAGGGAUUUGAGAUGUAGAUCUGUUUCAAGAGUGCUUGCCUAGUAUGCAAGUUAUCUUGGGUUCCAUUCCCAAUACUGCAUAAACAUGUAUAGUGGCACACUCGUCUGUCACUCUGGGAUGUGGGAGGGACUCAAGGUCAUCUUCAGGGACACAGAAAGUGUAGGACAAAGUUCAGCCAGAGACCUGCUUUUAUUAUUGUCCUUGUUGUUAUUAUUAUUAUUAUUAUCUUUGUUAGAACUUGGUUUGUAGCCAGGCACAGUCAUAGAUGCCUUGAAUCCCAGUACUCAGGAAGCUGGGGCAAGAGGAAGAUAGAGUUGAGUUUGGGGAUAGCCUGGGUAAUGAGCAAGUUCUAGGCCAGCCAGGGCUACAUAGUAAGUCUCAACAAGGAAAAUCAAAACACAAAUGAACAAAAAGAAGUCAGCCUACGUCCCGGUAAGAAUUCAGCGUGCACACAGUCCUCUUUGUUCUUUUGCUGCCUUUUCUUUUGAAUCUCCUUAUUCUUUGCCCCAGUGGGAAAGAGGAGGACCCAGGUUUGGAUUCUCAUGCCAUCACAAUGAUUAUUCCCUAAGCCACAGACCAAAUCCAAGGCCUGUGUGAGGCUCUGCGUGUAAGACUCCCUAGCACUGGCUCUCCUCGAUUCAUGGUGCACACGAGUUAUUUACUGCCCUCAGCACCAACCCUGGGCAUGGUUCCCUUGUUAAGUAAUUAUCCCCUUCACCUGUGCUGCAGCCCUGCCCUCUAACCUACUUUCUUCCUCUUAGCAUUUUCAUCCAGACCUUCCUAGCCUCUCAUGCAUGUCUAAUUUCCAGUUAUUAUAAGCUGCUAUUCCCAAGGUUAUAACUACAGCAAUGAACUAUGUCUGGUACUGGAACCCUGAGUGGCCUACAAAACCCCCACAUCCAAUCAAACAUCUGCACAACACCAUCUUGAAACCGAUCAUUUGGGCAGAAUCUAUCCCUGGUAGAAAGCACAGAAACAGUGGAGUGGGGAGCCCACGGAGCAGAGCGGCAGCAGGGGAGAAUAAAAAUAUGUUUGAGUAAGCAACUUUCGGUCUUCCCAGCUGUUUGAUCUGGGGCAAGGUACUUAACCCCCUUGAGAAGCAGUUAGCUUCUACCUUAAAAUAGACAUAUACUUGGGGUGUGUGUGUGUGUGUGUGUGUGUGUGUGUGUGUGUGUGUAGGGGAGAGGGUCUUUUUAUGGAUUGGUGCCAGCUGCCCACACACUGCCCCAUACAUACUCCAUCCAAUUCAUACUGUCUGCGCAGCACAUACUCCAAGACACUUUUAUUCUAUUUGUAUGCUUUCUUUUGGAUAUUAUCACUUUCAUUAUCCAUGCAUACAUACAUGCAUGCAUGCAAUAAAUGUGUUUGUGUGUCUGUGUCCAUGUAUAUGAGAGUGAGUUAGUGAGUAUAUGUGAGUGUGUGUGUAUGUGUGUGUGUGAGAGUGUAUGUAUGCGCAUGCACACUCACACUGCUGUGUAGACCAGAGGUGGAUAUUUGGUGUCCUUCUUAAUACUCUCCAUCUUGCAUUUUUCAAAGGCUUAUUAUUGACUUAUGCCUUUCUCUGCGUGUGUGCCUGUGUGUGCCUGUGUGUGCAUGUAUGCAUGUGUGCCAUGUAUGUGCAGAUAUCCAAAGAGGCCCAGAAGAAGGUGUCACUCAUUUUGAAGGUGGUUAGGAACAGCCUGACUUGCCCUCUGAAAGAGCAACAUGUGAUCUUCAACACUGAGUCUUCUCUUCCCUUCUCUCUGAAGUCAUGAUCUCUCAUUGACGUUGGCGCUUAGAAGAUUGUCUGGCCAGGAAAACCUCAGGAAUCCUCCUGUCUCUGUCUUCCCAGCACUUGGCUUGCAGGCACAUACUAUACCUAGACCACAGCCCUCAACCCCAAGCCCUCAGCACGGGUUCUGGGGAUCUGAAUUCAGGUUCUUUUGCUUACACAGCAACUUCUUUACCCAGCGAGCCGUCUCCCCAGCUCCUGUUUAAAGCCUUCAAGUACAGCUUACUUCAUGACUAUGUUUAGUACCCGUGGCCCAUCUUCCACACUGGCAUUUGAGCUAAGAUACAGGGAUCUUUGGCCUCCUGUGGAUGAUGCACUCCUUCAUCCCUAGUGCAAGAACAGUUCCUGGUCCCAGCAGCUGCUGAUGUGUGCUGAAUGAGCAACUGCCAUAAGGAGUAGGAAUUAGGCAGUGGCUACCUGUGUUACUUGUGAUCAUCUCGCCCUGCGGAGGGUUGAAUUUCUGCAAGGGCUUUCACUUCCCUAUAUGUCCAUUCAAAGCAAUUUAACCAUCUCAUUUCUGCCCUCCUUCUCAUGUACUAGAACUUGGAGAGCUGAAGGCAAGUGAACGGAGACUUAUGUUAACUUGACUUUCUCCAAACAUUGCCCUAGCUAAUGCAGUCAUGUGGCUGACAGUACUGUGGCCUCCUGGUUCUGUGUCUGUGUUUGGAGGAAGCAAGGGAAAAAAUAACUUGACAGUCAUCACCCCCAUCACUCCUUCCUUGGCCUCUGUGUUUCAUGUACUCUCUACAAGUUCAAGCGUUUGCACACUGCAUGCCGCUACAAAUCACUUGGCAGACGUAAAGUCACUUCUCCAUAGCACUAAAUCUUCUCACAAGCUUUGUUGUCUUGCUCAGUAGUAGGGGACUCUUCCUUUCCAGAAGUUGUGUUAAUCUUAUACCUAUUAAUAUGGGUCAGCAAUAGUCUUGCAUACUAAUCCAAGCGCGAAAAAAAUGAUCAUGAAUGCUAGCUAAAGCAUGCAAGGAACGCUGUUUUUCCUAUUAGGGUCUUUGAACUUAGCAACUAGUGGGGCAUGCUAUCAUGUAAUAUUAGUGAGCUCAGAGAGGACAGUUAAGGAUUCUUAACUCAUAGCUAGCCACUGAGAUUAUAAGACAAAGCCAAUUAAAAUACCACAGGCACAAAGCAGAAUAAUUCAGUGCAGAAAAAAAAAAUCUCACAGAGUUUGAAAAUAUCCUUUUUGUCAGUCUAAUGUAUACAUUUCACUUCGUGCGAUGUUGAGCUAAUACUCUGAAAACAAAACUCUUGGUCCCAUAAUAAAAUAAAGUGCUAGAGACAAGAAUACUUUGAAUUACUUUAGGGAAGAAAAAUGAAUUCUUGGUUCAGUUCAUCCAAAUAAACAUUACCACCUUCCUUUGGGGAAAAUUCACUUCCUUAAUGUGUGAUUAUCAUUAUUAGGCCUCUUUGUCUUCCUCCUUUUUCAAUGCCUCUCCCAGGCUGCUCGCUUGUAAAACAAUUUGCACAUUUUCUCCAACACAAAGCUAUCCUCAUUUUUCUACCCUUUCCAACAGACCUACUCUGUGAACUGCUGGUAUAUGCCACUCCAAAGCCAUGAAAGAGAAAAAUGGAUUCAAUUCAGUAAAUUUAAACCUGAUUAAUAGUUUACAUGCUCUAAUGUUUUAAAAAAGAAACAAGACUAAUUUUUAAGCUCUCAAGGAAAAAAAAAACCAACAACAACAAACAUAUUCCAAACCAUUCGAAUUUAAGCCAGAUGUGGGGUUUCAGGAAAUGUGCGGAUCAGGCAAAAAUCUUGUUUCUAAACUGUUUUGCUAAUUUUACGUUUUCAAUAAACACUAGUCCCAAUUAUAGCUGUCUUAGCCCAAAGCAAAACAAUAAUAAGAAUGUCUUUUAACACCUCCACUAAACUUCAGAAAAACAAGUCAAUAAAGAUAUGAUCUAUCUAUGAAAAAUGGUUUUGUUAGAAGCUGACUUUCAAAGCCUCAUUCAUAUGCAGGGGUGUUAAGGGUGCACUGGAAAGCAGUGGGGGUGGGUGGACGAUGAGGGGUGGAGGGGCAGAAAGAACGAAGGGAAUGGGCCACAGAAGGGUUCCUCCACACCCCUCAGGCCUAUCAACGCCUGUCUUUUGUCACUUACCAAACACAGGCUUCAGCAGAUGGGACACACAGUGUAGCUCUGCAUGCAGAUUUUAUAGUCGGUAGCAUCCCCAAGCUCUUGGCUCACCUCAGUACCACAUCAAAUGGAUGAGAGAAACCAACAGGGCCCUUGACUUUUGACUGAUCACGCUGAACUCGCCACGAGGUUCCGACCUCCACUCAGAAGGAAGCCUACCGGAUGAACGGAUCCUUCCCACAACCCCGACAACACAACACUCUUCGGAGUAUCUUCAAAGAUCAUAAAAUGUAACUUAUUCACUCUCAGUCUCCCUAAUCCUUGUCUUUUGUUUGUGUCUUUCGAACAGAGGCUCAUUCUGGAGCCCAGGCUGGGCGG
rnacentral:lncRNA from 1 species